rnacentral:rRNA from 1 species
GACGAACGCUGGCGGCGUGCUUAACACAUGCAAGUCGAACGGAAAGGCCCUGCUUUUGUGGGGUGCUCGAGUGGCGAACGGGUGAGUAACACGUGAGUAACCUGCCCUUGACUUUGGGAUAACUUCAGGAAACUGGGGCUAAUACCGGAUAGGAGCUCCUGCUGCAUGGUGGGGGUUGGAAAGUUUCGGCGGUUGGGGAUGGACUCGCGGCUUAUCAGCUUGUUGGUGGGGUAGUGGCUUACCAAGGCUUUGACGGGUAGCCGGCCUGAGAGGGUGACCGGCCACAUUGGGACUGAGAUACGGCCCAGACUCCUACAGGAGGCAGCAGUGGAGAAUAUUGCACAAUGGGCGGAAGCCUGAUGCAGCAACGCCGCGUGCGGGAUGACGGCCUUCGGGUUGUAAACCGCUUUCGCCUGUGACGAAGCGUGAGUGACGGUAAUGGGUAAAGAAGCACCGGCUAACUACGUG